rnacentral:rRNA from 1 species
AUUGAACGCUGGCGGCAUGCCUUACACAUGCAAGUCGAACGGCAGCACGGGAGCUUGCUCCUGGUGGCGAGUGGCGAACGGGUGAGUAAUACAUCGGAACGUACCCUGAAGUGGGGGAUAACGUAGCGAAAGUUACGCUAAUACCGCAUAUUCUGUGAGCAGGAAAGAGGGGGAUCGCAAGACCUCUUGCUUUAGGAGCGGCCGAUGUCGGAUUAGCUAGUUGGUGAGGUAAAGGCUCACCAAGGCGACGAUCCGUAGCGGGUCCGAGAGGAUGAUCCGCCACACUGGGACUGAGACACGGCCCAGACUCCUACGGGAGGCAGCAGUGGGGAAUUUUGGACAAUGGGCGCAAGCCUGAUCCAGCCAUGCCGCGUGAGUGAAGAAGGCCU